GCCCUGCGGGUGGGGGAGUCUGGUGUGGGCACCGAUGGCCUGGCCCCUGAGCGGGAACUGGGUGGAGGGGAGCAGGUAGAGGCCUCUGGUUUGCCGGCAGCUGUGAGGGCAAGGGGACCAUCAAGGGGACUCAUUCAGGGGCACGGGCGUUUAACUAGAUCAGUUUCCAGAAGCAGGUUCCCCAGAAUACCCGUGAUGUGUGUGCGCUGUGAUGUUUAGGGCGGGGUGGGUGGUGGGAAGGAAGGAUCCUUGUCUAUACAUUUUGGCGUCCCUGUAUAUCGGACCUGUUUUUGAAGAGUGUGUAUGCACAUCAGCAUAUUAAAGACUCUGGGCAGCCUGCAGUGAGGAAAGCUGGUUCAUCUUGAAGUCUGUUUCCCCCGACUUCCUGAGCCAUAGAAUUUCUUGUCUAAUAAACACUGAACACAGCCCACUGGUAAGUGCUUCUCAGAUUCAGACGUUAGGCCCCCUGGCCGUGUAGCCCGAUCUUCCUUCUCUGGUGAAGAUGACGGUGCCCUGGAGCCAGAAAUACACCUGGCACUUGGGUGGGAGAUGGGUGCGAGGUUAUAAGACAAGCGUUUGUUAAGUUUUUAUAUGCCAUUCUCUCUGGAAAUCAUUUUGGGGAAAAUGAGGCCAUGAAUUACUUGCCUUGUAUUUUAUUCACCAUUUUUUUUCUUUUACAGUUAAAAAAAAUACAAAUCUUUUUCAUUUUGGAGUAAAUGGGGAGCCGUCAGAAAGGGAGGAAAUACAGUUUUUUCCCGGGCCUUCAGAUCUCUAGGAAUAGCUUCCAUGGGACCUUGAACACACAGCUUUCUGAGCUGUGAAUUCCCCCCCCCCCACCCCCCGAAGGCCCUCCGGGGGCCCUGGAGGCUCCGUGGAAGCUGCCAGCUGCCAGGCUCAGUGAGUGAGAAGCGCGUCUCUCUAAGCCCGUACCCGCGGCCCUGCAGGUGCACGGCCUCCUGAGCUGCCCAGCGCUGAGGAGAAGCGCACGGAUCAUUGAACAGAGAGCCGUGGACACAGCCCUGUACAUGCAAAGUGGAGACAGGGAAAGUCUUCAGAUGGCGGUAGGACCAUUUCUCCACCUCCUGGAGCGCAACCUGCUGACGGCGGUGGACCCGGCCACGCCCCCCGGCAGCCACAGAAAGCUGUACCUCUAUGCGGCUCACGAUGUGACCCUCCUGCCUCUCCUGCUGG